GUGCUUCGGGCGAGAAUCCUGCCUAAGUUUCCUGGAAUGGGAUGUCACAGAGGGUGAGAAUCCCGUAUGUGGCUGGUAUUCAAGUCCAUGUGAGGCCCUUUCGACGAGUCGAGUUGUUUGGGAAUGCAGCUCUAAAUGGGUGGUAAAUUUCAUCUAAAGCUAAAUAUCUGUCGGAGACCGAUAGCGCACAAGUAGAGUGAUCGAAAGAUGAAAAGCACUUUGAAAAGAGAGUCAAAAAGUACGUGAAAUUGUUGAAAGGGAAGCGCUUGCAACCAGACUCACUUGCGGUUGUUCAAUCAUCCUUCGGGCUGGUGUAUUCUCCCGCAGUUGGGCUAGCAUCGGCUUUGGCGACUGGACAAAGGCCUUGGGAACGUAGCUCUCUUCUGAGAGUGUUAUAGCCUGGGGUGUGAUACAGUCAGUUGAGGCCGAGGACCGCGCAUUGCUAGGAUGUUGGCGUAAUGGUUGCUAGCGACCCGUCUUGAAACACGGACCAAGGAGUCGACCAACUACGCGAGUUUUAGGGCUUCAAACCCUGAAGCGUAAUGAAAGUGAAUGGAGGUGGGAGCCCUCGGGUGCACCAUCGACCGAUCCAGAAGUUUACGGAUGGAUUUGAGUAUGAGCAUAAUUGGUCGGACCCGAAAGAUGGUGAACUAUGCCUAAAUAGGGUGAAGCCAGAGGAAACUCUGGUGGAGGCUCGCAGCGGUUCUGACGUGCAAAUCGAUCGUCAAAUUUGGGUAUAGGGGCGAAAGACUAAUCGAACCAUCUAGUAGCUGGUUCCUGUCGAAGUUUCCCUCAGGAUAGUAGCAACGGAAACAGUCUCAUGAGGUAGAGCGAACGAUUAGAGGCCUUGGGGUUGAAACAACCUUAACCUAUUCUCGAACUUCGAAUAUGUGAGAAGUCC
rnacentral:rRNA from 1 species